UUCGAUGAUGAUGAGAUAUCAUAAUCUCGUUAAUCUGAUUUAACAUGAGGAUAAUUAAUCUCAUCCAUUCAUUUGUAUCUGAGA